GAUGAACGCUGGCGGCGUGCUUAAGACAUGCAAGUCGAACGGAGUGUGUAGCAAUACUCACUAAGUGGCGAAUGGGUGAGUAACACGUAGGUGACCUGCCCUGAAGUGCGGAAUAACAGUCCGAAAGGAUUGCUAAUACCGCAUGUGGUCCCGGGCGUUAGAGAACCGGGUCUAAAGCAGUAAUGCGCUUCAGGAGGGGCCUGCGGUCCAUCAGCUAGUUGGAGGGUAAUGGCCUACCAAGGCAACGACGGAUAGGGGACCUGAGAGGGUGGCCCCCACCAUGUCGACU
rnacentral:rRNA from 1 species